GACGAACGCUGGCGGCGUGCUUAACACAUGCAAGUCGAACGGAAAGGCCCUGCUUUUGUGGGGUGCUCGAGUGGCGAACGGGUGAGUAACACGUGAGUAACCUGCCCUUGACUUUGGGAUAACUUCAGGAAACUGGGGCUAAUACCGGAUAGGAGCUCCUGCUGCAUGGUGGGGGUUGGAAAGUUUCGGCGGUUGGGGAUGGACUCGCGGCUUAUCAGCUUGUUGGUGGGGUAGUGGCUUACCAAGGCUUUGACGGGUAGCCGGCCUGAGAGGGUGACCGGCCACAUUGGGACUGAGAUGCGGCCCAGACUCCUACGGGAGGCAGCAGUGGGGAAUAUUGCACAAUGGGCGGAAGCCUGAUGCAGCAACGCCGCGUGCGGGAUGACGGCCUUCGGGUUGUAAACCGCUUUCGCCUGUGACGAAGCGUGAGUGACGGUAAUGGGUAAAGAAGCACCAGCUAACUACGUG
rnacentral:rRNA from 1 species